rnacentral:rRNA from 1 species
UACGUAGGGGGCAAGCGUUGUCCGGAAUCAUUGGGCGUAAAGCGCGUGUAGGCGGUCCGGUAAGUCCGCUGUGAAAGUCGGGGGCUCAACCCUCGGAUGCCGGUGGAUACUGUCGGGCUUGAGUACGGAAGAGGCGAGUGGAAUUCCUGGUGUAGCGGUGAAAUGCGUUGAUAUCGUUCGGAACACCAAUAGCGAAGGCAGGCUUCUGGGUGUCACCUGACACUGCUAGGACGAAAGCGUGGGGAGCGAAUGGG